UAAAGAGAUAGGGUCUUCAUGGCCCGACCUCCAACCCUCUGUUGUUAAAACUACCUUGUUGCUUUGGCGGGACCGUCUCGGUCUCCGAGCGCACUAACCCUCGGGUUGGUGAGCGCCCGCCAGAGUCCAACCAAACUCUUGUAUUAAACCAGUCGUCUGAGUAUAAAAUUUUAAUUAAAUUAAAACUUUCAACAACGGAUCUCUUGGUUCUCGCAUCGAUGAAGAACGCAGCGAAAUGCGAUAAGUAAUGUGAAUUGCAGAAUUCAGUGAAUCAUCGAAUCUUUGAACGCACAUUGCGCCCCUUGGUAUUCCGAGGGGCAUGCCUGUUCGAGCGUCAUUACACCACUCAAGCAUCGCUUGGUAUUGGGAACGGUCCGUCGAAAGGCGGGCCUUCCUCGAAGACCUCGGCGGGGUUCAACCAACUUCGGGCGUAGUAGAGUUAAAUCGAACGUCUUAUAAGCUUGGUCGGAUCUCAUUGCCGUUAAACCUUUAAAUUUUCUAGGUUGACCUCGGAUCAGGUAGGGAUACCCGCUGAACUUAAGCAUAUCAAUAAGCC
rnacentral:rRNA from 1 species